rnacentral:lncRNA from 1 species
GCGGAGCAGGUAACGGCCCCGCUGCUGCCGUCGUCCCCCUCAGCCGGUUACCCUGUUACAGCCCCAGCUCUGGGCCCUUCCGGACCCUCCUGCUACGCUCUUUCUGGGCUUCCAGUAUCGCCGGUCACUCAGUCCUCGCCCCUGCCUGCCUCGCUGGCGCCCCGCCGUUUCCUCCUCGCGGCACAGUUUGCCAAGGAACAGCUACCCCGGCUCGGCAGUGACCGGGCGCCCCGGCGACACACGUACUCUCAGGCCCGCUGGGCAGGGGGACGGCCUGGGCCGAGAGAAGCACCAAAAGAGGCAAACUGAGAUGCAGACAAAUGAUCAUCCGUAUGCUGAUCAUUUUGAAUAAGACCAAAACCUGUCAAAAAAAUACUACCGUGGAAAGCUCAUAAAUACUACAGUGUGAAGAACCCUGUGCUUAUCUUCAGUUUAUCAUCAGACAUCUUAGGGAAGUUUAAUAAAGAACACCAGUGAGGAGAUUGUGGACUGCCUAAUAUAUUUCAUCAGAAGAGAAGGCUGGAGAAUUAAGCAGAUGCAGCAAAAAGCAGAAACUGACUUCAAAAAAAACCCUCUCAGUAGAGAAAGUGAUAUUAGAUUCCUAUUGCAAAGGAUCUAAUGCCAGUUAAAUUCUCUUUUGCUUUCUUGAUAAAACAGGAGAAUUGAGAAUUAAAUGAAAAGGUAAAUCCUUUUAAAGACCUCAGAAGAUGGAUCUGUUUGUUUCAAUCUGCUUUUGAGGCCAGAAGGAAAUAUCAGUUGAAAAAAAGCACACCUGGAAUGCAUCACUCUUUAAUUCUCAAAUCCAUAUG